AAAAAAACCACCCACCCGCUAGCCACAACCCCUCCCCUAACCUCCCCCGAUCCCAUCUGGCCCCUCGCCCCGAUGUGCAUCGCCGCCGCAGCCUCCCUCCCUGCCCCGUGCCGCCAUCGGGCCCCGGCCACCUCCCGCGCCGCUGCCGGGCCCCGGCCACCUCCCCCGCCACCGGCUGGCCCCGGCCACCUACAACGCCGCCAUCGGGCCCCUCCCCUGCAGUAAUCCAGCCCGAGCGAGCCCAUCACCGAUUGCUUCUUGCCCCGCGGCGGAGCGCCGCCGCACACCCACCCACAACUACAACUCCCCCGCCCCGCCCACAUCGACCACACACGGUGCUCGGUCAUGGGGACAACUGAGCGGAGCUCGAGCUCUGGCUCCUCUCUCCUCUUGCGCGCCACCGGCCAUUGCACCUCGCCGUGGUACACUCGGCCAAGGGGGCAACCGAGCGACGCCUGAGCUCCGGCUCCUUUCUCCUAUUGCACGGGCACCAGCCCUUGCCGCACGCCUUGGUGCACAUCCGCGCCCAUUGGCCCCUCUCUGCUGGCCCGCCAGCCACUACGGCGGCGCUCCGGCGACCUCUCCACUCCUGUCUGCGUGUUGCGGCAUGGACGAACACCUCCUCCCUUCUAAUGGCAAAAAUGGGGAAAGGAGCAGCUUCAGUUUAAAAAAUGUGGCAGCUUCAGUUCAGUUUAUAAGAAAGGAGCAAAAAAGAAAGGUUGUUGGGCUCGUUUGUGCAAUAUGUGCAUAAAAAUGGGGAAAGUUAAACUUCAUUAUUAUUGCUUGCUCCUCCAGUGGCCGGAUCUCGCCACCAUGACCACUCAACUCGUGUUGUCGGUGACCUACCAAAGCCUAAGCGACGACCUGUACGAGGUCUAAGCAUGAAAUUCAUGCUUGAAUCUUCUCCAAAUUGAUAUUGCCUGCAACGGGGAGGGGCAAGCCUGUAGUCCAGCACUAUGAAGGGAGGAACUGCUUCUACUUUUCUUCUGAAAUCUCAAUGCCAUGUCUUGAUUUUCAGAGGUAGUUUUUGGUUUGUACCAACCAUUUAAGAUGGUAUCUCAUCUGAAUGUGGUAUGCAUGCAGGCCAGCGUUCUCAAGUGGCAGAGCGGAGCCGUUUGCCUAGCGGGUCGAGCAGGUCGUCAAGGGACAGCUCAAUGCAUAUUUCUACAAUCAAAGCACCACUCGACCGAGAAACACGAUGACAGUGACACGCUGGGCGAAAUUGGAGAGAAGGCAAGGACGAGGCGGAGGAGUUCAUGAAGAUGGCCAAGGAGAAGACUGACGACGUUGCCGAGGGCGCAAAGGAGACAGUGCAGGAGACCAAGGAGGUGGUGCUCGGCGAGUCCGACGAUGACAUGUACAAGUUCAAGCAGCGGGUCGAGCAGGGGAGCUACGAUCAAAAAUAAGUGAGAGGGAGGUGUUCCCUUGGUGUAUGUUUGCGCGCAGUCAUGGCCUGCCCAAAGCCAUUAGCUCUGCAAUUUGUAUGUCAACCACUAGGCUUGGUAUCUGUAUGUGUAAUGUGAUCUUGGUACUAUACAACUUGCCACUUCCCGCAGAAUAAGUAAUAUUGAGCUUCUGAAUGUUUUUUCUUCU